rnacentral:tRNA from 1 species
ACAUUGGUGGUUUGGUGGUAGAAUUCUCACUUUCCACGUGGAGACGUGGGUUCGAAUCCUGGCCAAUGCA